UACGUAAAAGACUAGUGUUAUUCAUCUUUAUUAGGUUUAAAGGGUACUUAGACGGUAUUACUAGCCCAAAUUAGGGUACGGUAUUACUAGAGUUUUAUAUGAGAAGGGGAGUAUUCACGGAGUAGAGAUGAAAUUUUUUUGAUACCAUGACGACUUGAUAAUGGCGAAAAGCAACCUUCUGUUUAUUAACUGAACUGUUUGAGGAACGUAAAGGCUUGGGUAGCAAACAGGGAUUAGAAACCUAGU
rnacentral:rRNA from 1 species